rnacentral:rRNA from 1 species
UACGAGGGGGGCAAGCUUGUUCGGAAUUACUGGGCGUAAAGGGUCUGUAGGUGGCCAACUAAGUCAGACGUGAAAUCCCUCAGCUUAACUGGGGAACUGCGUCUGAUACUGGAUGGCUUGAGUGUGGGAGAGGAAUGCGGAAUUCCAGGUGUAGCGGUGAAAUGCGUAGAUAUCUGGAGGAACACCGGUGGCGAAGGCGGCAUUCUGGACCAUAACUGACACUGAGAGACGAAAGCCAAGGGGAGCAAACGGG